AUUGAACGCUGGCGGCAGGCCUAACACAUGCAAGUCGAGCGAGCGGAGGACGGGUGAGUACUGUAUGGGGACUGCCCGAUAGAGGGGGAUAACUACUGGAAACGGUAGCUAAUACCGCAUACUAUCGGAUACCCUAAAUGGGAUUAGCUAGUUGGUGAGGUAAUGGCUCACCUAGGCGACGAUCCAUAGCUGGUCUGAGAGGAUGAUCAGCCACACUGGGACUGAGACACGGCCCAAACUCCUACGGAGGCAGCAGUGGGGAAUAUUGCACAAUGGGCGCAAGCCUGAUGCAGCAAUGCCGCGUGUGUGAAGAAGGCCCUAGGGUUGUAAAGUACUUUCAGUCGGGAGGCGUUAACGACAGAGGAAGCAACGGCUAACUCCGUGCCAGCAGCCGCGGUAAUAC
rnacentral:rRNA from 1 species